GCCUGGUGGCUCAGUCGGUUAAGCAUCUGACUUCGGCUCAGGUCAUGAUCUCGUGGUUCAUGGGUUCGAGCCCCAUAUCGGGCU
rnacentral:tRNA from 1 species